rnacentral:lncRNA from 1 species
GUUCUACAUUUCUAUGAAUUUAUAGUAAUUCUAUACAUAGUUCUAUAGUUCUAAUGUCCCAUAGUUCCAUAUGGCUCUAUAUAGUUCUGUCGUCAUGUGAUGUUACGGCUAUAUAAUGGCACUAUAUUUCUAUAUGGUCCUAUAUUUCUAUGAUAGUUCUAAUGGUUCUGUAGUUCAAUGGUUGUAUAGUAAUAGUUCUAAUGGUUCUACGGUUAGUUCUAUUGCUCUAUGGUUCUACAGUUUUAUAGUUCUACACCCUACAGUUCUAUGGUUCUACAGUUCUAUGGUUCUACAGUUCUAUGGUUCUAUAGUUCUAUGGUUCUACAAUUUUAUAGUUCUAUGGUUCUACAGUUCUAUGGUUCUGUAGUUAUAUGGUUCUACAAUUUUAUAGUUCUAUGGUUCUACAGUUCUAUGGUUCUACAGGGUGUAUCAAAAAAAGCGCAAUCCUCGACUGAAAUGUAAAUUGCUAAACAAAUAACAGACGAAAACGUUAAAGUUUACAUUCAUUUUAAAGCGUAGCCAUUCAGCUUUCUAACAGUGGGUUGUUUCUUAAAUUUGACUCAUUGGUUCGCGGGUAAUAAUACUUUACGUUAUUGCGAUUGGAGAUUAAAAAAAUUGAGAUGGAAUAACAAAUCGUUCUCAUGAAAAUAACUGAUUUUUUCAUUAAAACAAAAAAAAUGUUGCAUUUUAUUAAAUGGAUUGUAACAAUAAGUAUAAUUACGGCUUUUCUUCCAGUAUUUUUAACUCAGUUUGAAACUUCAAAUGCGAUAUAAUUUUGGCUUGGACCAUCUAAGCUGACUGACAUCAACUUGCUAUAAUUUCUGUUUACAUUACAUCGAUGACAUUCUGGCUCAGACACCAGAAUGUUUUGACGAUUUUUAGCAUUCGUUUAGGAUUUUCAAACAACCUGGUCUCUUUUAAAAUACUUUUAAUUUGUUCUUACGUGGUUUUCCAGAUGUAGUGACGACAACAUUAAAGUUUAAAGAAGAAAAUUCUAACAUUUAAACCGACUAAACAAUAACAUAGUAAACUUGCAUAAUUAAACAGCAACUAAAAAUGACAGGUUUUACUAAAUCUUUUCCUGUGCAAUUAUUACUAGCAUUGGAGACAAGGAUAAUAGUUUGUUUGAAAGAGAAAAGAACAGGCUUUGAAGUAAGCCUAAAAGCGUUUAACUAGAAAUAGUAUUUCGAAAGUUAUUAAGCACAAAAGAUGAAUUGCGUUUAUUUUGAUACACCCUGUAUAGUUCUAUGGUUCUACAAUUUUAUAGUUCUAUGGUUCUAUAGUUCUAUAAUUUUAUAGUUCUAUGGUUCUACAGUUCUAUGGUUCUAUAGUUAUAUGGUUCUACAAUUUUAUAGUUCUAUGGUUCUACAGUUCUAUGGUUCUAUAGUUCUAUGGUUCUACAAUUUUAUAGUUCCAUGGUUCUAUAGUUCUAUGGUUCUAUAAUUUUAUAGUUCUAUGGUUCUACAGUUCUGAUACUACAGUUCUAUGCCGGUUCUAUAGUUCUACAGUUCUAUGGUUCUACAGUUCUAUGGUUCUACAUGUUCUAUGGUUCUACAUGUUCUAUGGUUCUACAAUUCUAUGUUUCUACAGUUCUAUUCAGUUCAAUAGUUCUAUAUGGUUCAGUAGUUCUAUGGUUACAUGGUUCUACAGCCGUUUUAUGGUUCUACGGUUCUAUACAGUUCAAUAGUUCUAUGGUUCAGUAGUUCUAUAUGGUUCAGUAGUUCUAUGGUUACAGUGAUGGUUCUACAGUUCUGUCAGGUUCUACUCUUCUAUACAGUUCAAUAGUUCUAUGGUUCAGUAGUUCUAUGGUCACAUGGUUCCACAGUUUUAUGGUUCUACAGUUCUAUACAGAUCAAUAGUUCUAUGGUUCAAUAGGUUCUAUGGUUACAUGGUUUUACGUUUCUAUGAUUCUAUGUUUCUAUAGUUAUAUGGUUCUAUGAUGCCUAUGAUCUUUGAUAAUAUAGUUCUAUACUUCUAAAUAGAUCUAUCUAUAUAGACACCUCAAAAUCAUACAAAAACACGUUUACGUCACGCGUUUACGUCAUGUAAUUACAUGCGCUUGAUUGUUUCUAAUUAAGCUAAUUAGUUCAUUAGCUAAUUGCUAGUUUCCCGCGCGAGUUCGUUCUACAAAGCGUUAAAGGAUUUUGAAAAGAAAUUUGAUUUUUCUACGUUUAUUGAAGCCUAUCAAGUUCUAUCGAAGCCUAUUAGAGCAAAUUAAGGAUACUCAUAUAAAUUGAGGUGAGUAAUGAUUGGGAAGUUUUGUAUAGCGGGUAUAUAAGGCAUGUUAAUUAAAUAUGUCAUUAAAAUGUUAUAGUAGCAUCGUUGCAUUCAAUUUUGAGCCGGUUCAAAUUUUGCUGAGACUUGUAAUGAUGAGGAUUUUCGCCACGCGCGCGGUAAUAUCCAGUCAAUUCUCAUCAAUUCAAAUCUUGCAAAACACUGCUGAAGAUGAAUCAGAUUUGAUUCGAAAUAUACAGGGUUUUCUUUAUAAAUUGUGUGUUAAUAUAUAAUGCACUCCUUAUUCGGAAUAACUUUUGUUU